UUAAAAAAAAUAGUAAAAAAUCAAAAACCUAAAAAAAAAAUCUCUGCAACAUCAAUCGACGCUGCUCAACUUCAUGAAACGGUCUAUUCUCUUUAUAGCAAGUUUCUUCAUAUCGAUUUUCAUUAUCCAACCCAAAAAUGUUAAUCUGCUUAACUUCGAGGAACGGUCUAUUCUCUUUAUAGCAAGUUUCUUCAUAUCUAUUCUCAUUAUCCAACCCAAAAAUGUUGAUCCUCACAAAGAAUUAUUAUCCAACCCAAAAUUGUUAAUCUGCUUAACUUCGAGGAACGGUCUAUUCUCUUUAUAGCAAGUUUCUUCAUAUCAAUUUUCAUUAGCCAAUCCAAAAAUGUUGAUCCUCACAAAGAAUUGUUAGGACAAAACACACAUAUACGAUCUAUUUUGACUUGACAGUAAAUUAUAUUUUGAUACUAACUCAUUUAUUCCUUAUUUUUCUUUUAACUAUUGACUUUAUUCUUACAAUAAGAAGCUAAGGGAAUAUCAUAUGGUCGUCGCAACUGAACUCGCUGCGCUAAUUAUUGAUCAAGAAAAUAAUACACGUUAUACACCAAUCAGUUUUCCAACUUGAUUUAUUAUAACAAUGCCACGAACACGCAGGGGGUCUAAUUUGAGUCGUCAAACAAACAGAUCUAGAGGCAUGCAAGAUAGAAGAGCAAUAGGAUCAGAUGCAGAAAGGCAACAAAGUAAUGCAGAUGUCCGUGUAAGAAUGGCGCAGUUACGUGCAACCUAAUUGAAUCUACGCCCACAGCACAAAGAAUUGUUAGGACAAAACACACAUAUACGAUCUAUUUUGACUUGACAGUAAAUUAUAUUUUGAUACUAACUCA